AAAGUCGUAACAAGGUUUCCGUAGGUGAACCCGCGGAAGGAUCAUUAACGAGUUAUUUGAACGGGCUGUAAGCUGGCCUCUUUUCACAGAAGAGGUAAUUGUGCACGCCUGGCUCAAUCCACUCUUUCAACCUCUGUGCACUUGUUGUAGGUUGGCAGAAGGGGCAAGUUCUCUAAAAUCUUUAUUGAUUUUAUAAAGACUUGCUUCAGAAAGCCUUCCUAUGUCUUUUCUACAAACGCUUCAGUUUAAGAAUGUAAUCUUUGCGUGUUUAAUAACCGCAUCUAUAUAUACAUAAUAACUUUCAGCAACGGAUCUCUUGGCUCUCGCAUCGAUGAAGAACGCAGCGAAAUGCGAUAAGUAAUGUGAAUUGCAGAAUUCAGUGAAUCAUCGAAUCUUUGAACGCACCUUGCGCUCCCUGGUAUUCCGGGGAGCAUGCCUGUUUGAGUGUCAUGGUAUUCUCAACCUUCACAACUUUAUUGUUGUUGAAGGCUUGGAUUUGGAGGCUUUAUGCUGGUUUCUUGUCAAGUCAGCUCCUCUUAAAUGAAUUAGCGUGAAGUGUACAACAGAUCGCUUCGGUGUGAUAAUUAUCUGCGCCGUGGUCGUGAAGUUUGAAACACUAAUAAGCUUUGCGCUUCUAACCGUCCUUCAGUUGGACAAGCUGGUAUAUUAUAUUGUAUUAUAUAAUAUAAUAAUACUCUCUGACAUCUGACCUCAAAUCAGGUAGGAUUACCCGCUGAACUUAA
rnacentral:rRNA from 1 species